AGAAGAAGCACCGGCUAACUCCGUGCCAGCAGCCGCGGUAAUACGGAGGGUGCGAGCGUUAAUCGGAAUUACUGGGCGUAAAGACGCAUGCAGGCGGCCUGUUAAGUCAGAUGUGAAAGACCCGGGGCGUUAACCUCGGAAUUGCAUUUGUAAACUAGGCAGGCUAGAGUCUUGUAGAGGGGGGUAGGAAUUUCAGGUGUAGCGGUGAAAUGCGUAGAGAUCUGAAGGAAUACCAGUGGCGAAGGCGGCCCCCUGGACAAAGACUGACGCUCAGAUGCGAAAGCGUGGGGAGCAAACAGGAUUAGAUACCCUGGUAG
rnacentral:rRNA from 1 species